rnacentral:rRNA from 1 species
CCUACGGGAGGCAGCAGUGGGGAAUAUUGCACAAUGGGGGAAACCCUGAUGCAGCGACGCCGCGUGAGUGAAGAAGUAAUUCGUUAUGUAAAGCUCUAUCAGCAGGGAAGAAAAUGACGGUACCUGAGUAAGAAGCCCCGGCUAACUACGUGCCAGCAGCCGCGGUAAUACGUAGGGGGCAAGCGUUAUCCGGAUUUACUGGGUGGAAAGGGAGCGUAGACGGCAGUGCAAGUCUGGAGUGAAAGGCGGGGGCUCAACCCCCGGACUGCUCUGGAAACUGUCCGGAUGGAGUGCAGGAGAGGUAAGUGGAAUUCCUAGUGUAGCGGUGAAAUGCGUAGAUAUUAGGAGGAACACCAGGGGCGAAGGCGGCUUACUGGACUGUAACUGACGUUGAGGCUCGAAAGCGUGGGGAGCAAACAGGAUUAGAUACCCGAGUAGUC